rnacentral:rRNA from 1 species
AGUGAACGCUGGCGGUAGGCCUAACACAUGCGAGUCGAACGGCAGCACAGUAAGAGCUUGCUCUUACGGGUGGCGAGUGGCGGACGGGUGAGGAAUACAUCGGAAUCUACUUUUUCGUGGGGGAUAACGUAGGGAAACUUACGCUAAUACCGCAUACGACCUGCGGGUGAAAGCAGGGGAUCUUCGGACCUUGCGCGAUUGAAUGAGCCGAUGUCGGAUUAGCUAGUUGGCGGGGUAAAGGCCCACCAAGGCGACGAUCCGUAGCUGGUCUGAGAGGAUGACGGGCAGCACUGGAAGGGAGUAACGGACCAGAGUCCGAAGGGAGGGCCAGGAGGGGAAUGUGGGAGAAGGGGGGCAUGGCUUAUCAACGCAUACUGAUUGGGAAAAGAAGGCCUCCGGGUUGUACAGCCCUUUUGGGGGGAAAAAAAAGCAACAGGCUAAGACCCCGCUGUUCGGAGCGGACCCAAAAAAUAAGCACCGGCUAACUUGGUG